AGCGGCUCCAGGGACCUCCUCCAUUAGCGGCCAGUCACUCUGAAGAAGCCAGUCGCUAACCCGGCCUCUCCUUCCCUUCCUAAUCCGAGACAGAGUGGGACUGCCUCACCCAGCACGGAAACCGAGACGUCCCAUACAGAAAGGGAAACUGAGGCUGAGGGUUCAGACUUCAAGGUCGUAGGUCCAGCAUUGCUAGCUCCAUUGCUUUGGAACUGUGGGAGCUAGAGCACAGGGCUCAAAGAAGAAGUGUGGCCAAUUGCAGAAGAUGGGGCAGAGAGAGCCCAUGGACACUCCAGGCUCCGGGUGAAUUCUCAUCUCUUUUCCCUAGAAGCAGAGCAGAAUGAAGUGACCAUCAAGGCCACAUCUUCCUUAUACAUUGAAGAGUGGUUGAAGAGAACACCUGAUAUCAGCCUGUGGUCUCCAUAUGGACGUGCACGUGUCAUUCCUCUGGUUGGUACCGCACACUCAAUUACCAGGGUUUGCAGAAUGAAGCAGACCUUGGCAAUACCAUCACCUACCACCAGGGGCACUGCUGCCUUGGAGACCUCCAGACAGAGAGGGCUUCUGAGAAGGCAUCAUGACCAGCUUAGUGGGAAGGAGAGGUUUUGGCUACUUACUGACAUUUGGAUCAACAUGUUCCCCUGAGAAACGAGGAGAAGCCAUCCUGUUCCUUCCAGAGCCUGGCUUCGGGAGGAUAAUAUACACUUCCAUUUGUCACCAGCAGCUCUGUGUUCUUUCCUGAGUUAUCCCAGGUCCCAGAGGAGCUCACAAAUGCUGGGAACAUUCUUCGUAGCCCAACCCAUUUCAGUGCUGAGUAUCCCCAUUAUUUGGAAAGCCACCAUUCUCCUAAUUCUCCCCCGAAGGACAUUUUGCUUUCUCUAAGGGUUUGGUGAUGGUGGGAAAAGCUGCUAUAAAUGUUACCGUGCUG
rnacentral:lncRNA from 1 species